rnacentral:lncRNA from 1 species
CAGAAGUGGUUUGGACAUACCAGGUUUCCCUGAGUAAAGGAAGAAACUCUGUGGACAAUUAUUUUCCUAUGAUCUCCUUCUUCCAAUAGGUUGGGAUGUCCUUAGAGAUUGGGAUGGCAUGGACCAUUGUGGCUAAUUAUGUGGCUGUGCAUUGAACCUACAAAGUCAUACAGUAGUCAAUAAUUAGCUUGUGCCUCCAACCCUUCAGUUUGAUGACUUCAGUCCUGUGAGUCCCAUGCCUGUGUCUAAGCCUCCAUGGUUGUCUGCAUCAGGAAGCUCCUAUCUGACUUUGCAUUAAUUUCAGUAUUGAAGACAGAGACUGAGGCUUCACUGGGCAGCAGACAUAGCAGGAUCUUUGUGUCUGCUCUCCUUGACUAUGAGCCAGCAGAGAAAGAGUAUCAUCCAGUAAGUGCAGAGGUGUGUUCCAGGUGUGUUAAUAUUAUUUCAUGUUCCCCUAUUUGGCUUUUUUCACAAUUGAAUUGUGGUGUGACCUGAAAAAACACAGGGUCAAAUUUUCUUCCAGGUAACUAAACUAAGAAAAAUGAAAAUCAUGUAUCAUGAAAAAUUGAAUCAAAAACACUGUCA